AUGCACGCUGGCGGCGUGCCUAAUACAUGCAAGUCGCGCGAACGGACGAGAAGCUUGCUUUUCUGAUGUUAGCGGCGGACGGGUGAGUAACACGUGGAUAACCUACCUAUAAGACUGGGAUAACUUCGGGAAACCGGAGCUAAUACCGGAUAAUAUUUUGAACCGCAUGGUUCAAAAGUGAAAGACGGUCUUGCUGUCACUUAUAGAUGGAUCCGCGCUGCAUUAGCUAGUUGGUAAGGUAACGGCUUACCAAGGCAACGAUGCAUAGCCGACCUGAGAGGGUGAUCGGCCACACUGGAACUGACACGGUCCAGACUCCUACGGGAGGCAGCAGUAGGGAAUCUUCCGCAAUGGGCGAAAGCCUGACGGAGCAACGCCGCGUGAGUGAUGAAGGUCUUCGGAUCGUAAAACUCUGUUAUUAGGGAAGAACAUAUGUGUAAGUAACUGCGCACAUCUUGACGGUACCUAAUCAGAAAGCCACGGCUAACUACGUG
rnacentral:rRNA from 1 species